rnacentral:rRNA from 1 species
GACAGAGGCCUCAAGCGUUAGGCGGAAUCACUGGGCUUAAAGCGUGUGUAGGCGGAUCGUUAAGUGCCUUGUGAAAUCCCACGGCUCAACCGUGGAACUGCUUGGCAUACUGGCGGUCUUGAGCCAUCUAGGGGUCGCUGGAACAAACGGUGGAGCGGUGAAAUGCGUAGAUAUCGUUUGGAACGCCUAUGGUGAAAACAGGCGACUGGGGAUGUGCUGACGCUGAGACACGAAAGCGUGGGGAGCAAACAGG